rnacentral:rRNA from 1 species
UACGUAGGGCGCAAGCGUUAUCCGGAAUUAUUGGGCGUAAAGAGCUCGUAGGCGGUUUGUCGCGUCUGCCGUGAAAGUCCGGGGCUCAACUCCGGAUCUGCGGUGGGUACGGGCAGACUAGAGUGAUGUAGGGGAGACUGGAAUUCCUGGUGUAGCGGUGAAAUGCGCAGAUAUCAGGAGGAACACCGAUGGCGAAGGCGGCAUCCUGGACCAUUACUGACGCUGAGUGAGCGAAAGCCAGUGGAUCAAACGGG